GGGCGGUUGGCGCAGUGGUAGCGCACUUCCCUGACACGGAAGGGGUCACAAGUUCGAAUCUUGUAUCGCCCA
rfam:Bifidobacterium breve DSM 20213 genomic scaffold Scfld1, whole genome shotgun sequence.